AGAGUUUGAUCAUGGCUCAGAAUCAACGCUGGCGGCGUGCCUAACACAUGCAAGUUGAGCGCUUAAGGGGGGCAACCCCCAAGAGAGCAGCGAACGGGUGAGUAACGCGUGGGUGAUCUUCCUUCGAGUGGGGAACAACAUCGGGAAACUGGUGCUAAUUCCGCAUAACACCUCAGGACUAAGAGUCUUGAGAUCAAAGCCGGGGACCGUAAGGCCUGGCGCUUGAAGAUGAGCCCGCGUCCGAUUAGCUAGUUGGCGGGGUAAUGGCCCACCAAGGCUUCGAUCGGUAGCCGGCCUGAGAGGGCGGACGGCCACACUGGAACUGAGACACGGUCCAGACUCCUACGGGAGGCAGCAGUGGGGAAUUUUUCGCAAUGGGCGCAAGCCUGACGAAGCAACGCCGCGUGGAGGAUGAAGGUCUUCGGAUUGUAAACUCCUGUCGACCGGGACGAAUGCACCCGACCUAAUACGUCGAAGUGUUGACGGUACCGGUGGAGGAAGCCACGGCUAACUCUGUGCCAGCAGCCGCGGUAAUACAGAGGUGGCAAGCGUUGUUCGGAAUUACUGGGCGUAAAGGGCGCGUAGGCGGCCUUAUAAGUCUCGUGUGAAAGCCCUCGGCUUAACUGAGGAUCUGCACGGGAUACUGUAAGGCUUGAGUUCGGGAGAGGAAAGCGGAAUUCCGGGUGUAGCGGUGAAAUGCGUAGAUAUCCGGAGGAACACCAGUGGCGAAGGCGGCUUUCUGGACCGACACUGACGCUGAGGCGCGAAAGCUAGGGGAGCAAACGGGAUUAGAUACCCCGGUAGUCCUAGCUGUAAACGAU
rnacentral:rRNA from 1 species